rnacentral:lncRNA from 1 species
GAGGAAGAGAUUGAGCAGCCUUGCAUGCACCAUGACGGCCUCUUCCUCUCCAUUAUUAUUGGUUAAUGAAAAAAAAUUGAAAAGCAAGAAAGAAGACGAAUGGGUUGUUGUUGAAAAGCAAGAAAGAAGACAAAGUUGGGUUGUCGUUGAAAAGCAAGUUGAUCCUAGCGGAAAGCAAGGUAAAGAAAACAAAUGAUUAUUGCCAGGCAUGUGAACACCCACCGAAAUAAAGAGAUAAGU